AAGGAACAGUUUUAAUCUACAACUCAGCAUAAAAAUCCUGAGGAGGUUGAGAAGAUCUACAGAACUGCUUAGCUCUAUCGAGGUGUAAUGACAGCACUCUUCUGGCAUCCAGGGUGUGCAAAUGUCCCCCUUCUCUGUUUGAGUGUGGCUUCAGAAAGAAUGAAGGUACAGUAAGUAUUCUAGACUAUGCAGGAUCAAGGAACAGGAUAGCAAAACACCAAAAUGGCAUGACCAGAUGAAAAAAAUAUCUCCAUUUAGAAAGACUUCCCUGUGGGUAAUAAGGAAGAGUGAAACAAACCAGAGUCCCUGCGUGGAAUCUCUCUAAACUGGACAAGAGGCAGAUACAAGGAGAUAAGAGA